rnacentral:lncRNA from 1 species
CAAUGGACAUGUGUUUCGUUGUGGUUCUCAUCAAGAUAAUAGAAGAAUCUAGUGCUCAUACUCAUGAUCUAAUGAGCAAACAGCCCAUGCAAAGGAUGUCUUAUCGGGCUAUGCCUCAAUUGAUAAAGUGAACUAAUUGCCUACUUCAAAAGCAGUUUUGCAUGAAAGUCAACAUCUAAUUGGAAUUUACAAUGCCCGAUAUUUCUACACAUCUGCCACAAAUUUUAUGGAAAACAAUAUUUAUAGAAACUGAACAUACCUUGGUUAAACGUAUAUGAAAUGGGUAACCAUCCUCGAAGAACAUCAACCAGCUGUCGGCAAUGUGCAGGUGGACUGAGGAAUUUUCCGGUGUGUCCUUUAUGGACUGUACUCCGUCUUAGCACUAUCCUCAAGUUUUACCCGAGAGGCCAUGCUUCAGGUUGGACCGUCUUCCAUAUAUCUACUGACUUCAUAUAAAUGAAAGUGUACUAAGGACUCGCUGAUCUGCACUACCAGCUCAUGUUCAACGUUACUGAACAACAAAGCAAUCCGACAACCAGACUGGACCCGGUCAUGUUAGGUACCAAAGGAAAACGAAAAUAUCAUUGGUUCUAUACUGAUGCAUGACUUCGCUCGGAACGCGGCAAGAAUUAACAAUGGAAGAAAAUACUACAGACGUGUUUAUUAACGAUAAAGUUAUUUUUGUUUUUAUGAAAUAGCGAUUGAAUAAAAAUAUUAGGUAUAUGAGUUUUAUUUAGAGAUGAAAUAAGUCAAGAA